UGUAGGAGGAAGUGUGUCACUGGGGGUGGGCUUUGAGGUUUCAGAAGCUCAGGUCAGGCCCAGUGGCUCACUCUCUCUUCCCAGUGCCUGCUGAUCC
rnacentral:miRNA from 1 species